rnacentral:lncRNA from 1 species
CAACAAGGACUGGUGUGGAUAGCGUGCUGCGCUGGUCUCGCCAAAUGAAAAGAAUUCUGUGACAUUACGAGCCAACAAUGAAAACCUCGAUCCACCCUGUGUCCACAUAUUAUCUAGUUUGUGCGCUGUGGAGCUUGAAGCACUUCUCAGAAUUUCAGCACACUCGCAUUUAUUUCUUUCCCGACAGAAGAACAAUGCAAGUCUCACAUCUCGAUGAGGGUGGCGAUUUACCGUCUC